AUAUUUGAUCGAUUCAUGAAGGUUGGUGAAAGGAGUCGACAGCAUCCUUAGGCCAAACUUACUAUUUUGGGGAAAAUUUUAUGCAAAUGUAUUGACUAUGAGUGGCAACGCUUAGAAAACUGUAUAUUUGACCGAUUCAUGAAGGAUGGUGAAAGGAGUCGACAGCAUUCUUAGGCGAAACUUACUACUUUGGGGAAAACUUUAUGCAAAUGUAUUGACUAUGAGUGGCAACGCUUAGAAAACUGUAUAUUUGACCGAUUCAUGAAGGUUGGUGAAAGGAGUCGACAGCAUUCUUAGGCGAAACUUACUACUUUGGGGAAAACUUUAUGCAAAUGUAUUGACUAUGAGUGGCAACGCUUAGAAAACUGUAUAUUUGACCGAUUCAUGAAGGAUGGUGAAAGGAGUCGACAGCAUUCUUAGGCGAAACUUACUACUUUGGGGAAAACUUUAUGCAAAUGUAUUGACUAUGAGUGGCAACGCUUAGAAAACUGUAUAUUUGACCGAUUCAUGAAGGUUGGUGAAAGGAGUCGACAGCAUUCUUAGGCGAAACUUACUACUUUGGGGUAAAAUUUAUGCAAAUGUAUUGACUAUGAGUGGCAACGCUUAGAAAAUUGUAUAUUUGAUCGAUUCAUGAAGGUUGGUGAAAGGAGUCGACAGCAUCCUUAGGCCAAACUUACUACUUUGGGGAAAAA
rnacentral:lncRNA from 1 species